rnacentral:rRNA from 1 species
UAGUCCACGCCGUAAACGAUGGUCACUAGUUGUUGGGGUCUUGUACCUCAGUGAUUAAGAGAAAUUGAUAAGUGACCCACCUGGGGAGUACGAUCGCAAGAUUGAAACUCAAAGGAAUUGACGGGGGCCCGCACAAGCGGUGGAGCAUGUGGUUUAAUUCGAUGAUACGCGAGGAACCUUACCAGGGCUUAAAUGUAGAAUGACAGUUGUGGAAACACAUCCUUCUUCGGACAUUCUACAAGGUGCUGCAUGGUUGUCGUCAGCUCGUGCCGUGAGGUGUCGGGUUAAGUCCCAUAACGAGCGCAACCCCUAUCUUUAGUUGCCAGCGGUUCGGCCGGGGACUCUAAAGAAACUGCCCGUGUAAACGGAGAGGAAGGUGGGGAUGACGUCAAAUCAUCACGGCCCUUACGUCCUGGGCUACACACGUGCUACAAUGGCAAGGACAGUGAGCUGCAAACCCGCGAGGGUGAGCUAAUCUAAAAACCUUGUCUCAGUUCGGAUCGGAGUCUGCAACUCGACUCCGU